GAUUGGUUUUUUUUUAAAUAACUGCAAGCCUUACUGUACUAAAGGAAAUUUUUUCUCUUCCGUAAGAUGUAACCUGCACCACCAGACGCAGGCGGCCUCUUCAAACACCAGACCCGGGCUUCCUCAGCAGUGCACGGCCCCGAGGCAGCGCUGCCCGCUGGCUGCUCCCCUUCGUGCAGCCUCCCGGUGCUCACAGGGAGCGGGAGCGACACUCAGGAGGUGGCCCGGCCCGGCCUCCCCCGGCGGCCUCAGCGCUGCCCUAAGCUACGGACAUCCACUCCCCUCACACGUUUAAGAGGAACCAUCGCAUACAGGUCCCCCUCCGCCGCCGUUACCGGCAGAAAGGGCAAUGGCCAGGCCAAGGCCUCCUGCGCACCCAAUACCCUCGCUGCUCCGCACUUCUCCAGCAGCCGCCGCCCGCCGCCCUGCGCUCACAUGGCACCCGCUGUUCCAGGGCUCCGGAGUGGCCAUCAGACUCAAAUGGCUGUAAUUCCAGAAUGUAUGGAAUAAUAACCUCUGGAACCUGUGGAGUUAAGCCACCUCUACAGCCAACUAUUCCAGUCUACAGUUCAACCAGUCAACAUGUAACAUUGUUAUAUGUAAUUCAGGCUCUGCAGUCCCAUCUUGGCAAUGCACAACCCAUCAGAUGUAGUCCAGAAGCAUUCCUAGCCUGGCUUCAGCUCCAGAAAGUGUUCAGGGUAAGAGCAGCACUGGAGCAGAGUUUCUCCUUCUGAAAAUGAAAGCAAGGACACAAGGACAAGAGGCCAAGCUUUUCACAAUCCUUUUCAAAGCACAGUUUGGUUGAUGUGCUGUGACUCAAUUUAGAUUAACACAAGGCAAAAUUCUCUAGUUCCAAA